CCAUUGCCAGAUAAUUAUAGCGAUGCACUGAGGAAUUUUAUCUUUAGAGUUUUGACACGAGAAGAAAUCGGAAGGCCUUCUGCCAGUGAAGUUUUUAUAUUUUGUAAGUUAUUACUUCCUGGUGAAUAUCAAAGAAUUAAGCGCAGAAGGUUGGAACCUAUCCAUCUAGAUAAACAAGAAAUUAGAAAAGCUCUGCGGAUCUACGAUGGUACAGAACUAAGUGAAGACUAUUGGGAUUCUGAAAAAUCCAUGAGUUUCAGUGAAUCUUCUGAAAAAUCCAAAAGUUUCAAUGACUCUUCUGAAAAAUCCAAACGUUUCAAUGAAUCUUUUGUAGACACCAAAAGUUUCAGUAAAUCUUUUUCCCAAUCAGUGUCAUUAAAACCAGACAAAUAAAAUUCAAUAUUUCAAUAAUCAACAUUCUCAAAAUACGCAAUCUCAUUGGUUCAGUAGUCCAGCAAAUGAAUACGAAAAGGAAACUACAUUUGUAAACAUAAACCAAUGUUUCACUUUAGCCAAAAAAAAACACAACCAAGUAGCAAUUUUAUUUUGUAAAUAUUAUUUCCUCGUAUAUAAAGUUAAAUUAAUGUUAUAAUGUUUCAUUGUAUUUCUUGCUUGUAAUGCUUCAAUGUUUUAACUAGUCUUUCAAGAAAGUGAACUUUGCACAAUCGAUGUUUUUAUAAUAGUCCUGCUAACAUAAAGUGAUAGGCAUAAUGAUCAUAAACAUCUAUUAAUUCAACAUUUGAAUACAAAAUAAAAACACACAUUAAAAUAUAGUGCAGGACAUCCUGCCAAAUAGUUUACAAAAU
rnacentral:sRNA from 1 species